UCAUAGCUGAGGACAGUGCUCUGGGCACUGCUGCUGGUACUGUUCUCCCCUGGGCCAGUGGGGGUCAGGGUGUGGUUCCUGAGUGAACAAUGUCUGCAAGGUGACAAUCAGCAUCUUGUUCCUGCCUUCUGCAAGGGUGAGCUGCAACAACAAGCCUUUCUCCUUUCCUUCCCACAGUAACCAGAUAUCACCCACAGCGAUAUAAAACACAGUAAAUAGAUAUUAUGUAUACAUAUACAUAGCUGAAAGUCACAGCUUGAAGCAGUGUUUGAGCACCCGGUGGGAAGGCAGGGCCAACCCAAGGAGCUCAGGUGCAUGGCAGUGCACCUGAGUGGCCAGAAGGGAUGGAGCCAGGAUGCACCCCUUCCUAAAACUCAUUUAAAGGUUGACAGUGGAGGCAAGAGGAUCUUGCUGGAGUUCCCUGCUUACCUGAGGCCCUCUAAAGAUUUGCUCAGCAGUUCUGGGAAUCAAGUGCACUGCCACACAAAAUCGUCUUUGCAUACAUUUGGCUAAAUGGCAUUAUUCCUGGCUGUUCAAUGACUACAUGCAGCAUUUGGGUAUGAAAUUUCUCCCCAGGAUCCCUGUGCACUGCUGUGCAGCUCCCACUCAUGACCCCAAACGCUGAACUCGGUGCAGGCAUUGCCCUGAGCCCAACGGAGGGCAGCAGCCAACCAACCUGAUC